GGGGACCUGUCCCGUCUCCACUCCCUGACGCUUCCUUGCUCCUGGCUCCGACUCCCCGGUGGGUNCCCGGCCUCCCCCCUGCCGUCGCGCGGCUGCCGGGACGCUUGCUCCUUACUUCCGCGGCGGUCCGGUGUGCGUCCUGCCUCGGCUCUCUGCCUCGGCUCGUGGGGGACCCCGCGGUCUUCGACGCGCGGACCCGCUCCUCCCGCCUCUCGUCCUACGCG
rnacentral:rRNA from 1 species